rnacentral:rRNA from 1 species
AUGGCGCCCUUGGCUUCCAAAAUACUUGACUCUCUCACCAUACUGAUGAUGUGCACCACCGCACUCGUCUCAGCCGCUGGAGCGCUGCCAUCACUUGAACAACAAGCAGGGGCACUUCUUGCCUGGAAAGCCAGCCUCAGUCAGCAAAGCCAAGACGCCCUGCGAUCCUGGAGAAACAUCUCAGCACCUUGCCGUUGGCAAGGCAUCCGGUGUGAUGGACGCCGGCCGGUGAUCGCCGCCAUCUCCCUGCCGGGGAUACGGCUGAGAGGGACACUUGAGUCUCUUGACUUCUCGGCUUUGAGGACCUUGGUGGCCCUUGAGCUCUCGCACAACGAGCUUGCUGGGAGCAUCCCUGUGAAUAUUAAGCUCCUCAAAGAACUCCAUGCUCUCCUCCUGCAUGACAAUCAGAUAAGAGGUUCAAUACCACCUGUUUUAGCAAAUCUCACGAAACUGCGUCUCCUAAUGCUCCAUGACAACCAAGUCUCCGGUGAAAUACCAAGGCAAAUAGGCGAGAUGGGUAAUCUUGUGAGCCUGAACUUGUCAAACAAUUACUUAGUUGGUCCUAUCCCUUGUGAAAUAGAUCACCUUAAGCAUUUGCUUAAAUUAGAUUUGUCCAGCAAUGACCUUUCCGGACCAGUUUCCUUCAGUCCAGCUAACUCAUCCAUCAAAAUCCUAUGA